AGUGAUCAAAGUUAGGUAGAGUACUUCUACUAUAAGAAGCAGGGUCACUGAAAGAGGAACUAUCCUCAAUAUAUAGCUUUCCUUGUCCUAAAUAGGCCAAAGAAGAAGAAGCAAUUGGUUACUGGAUAAGAUAAUUAUAUGAUAACACCUUGUAACUUCUCAAUUUUUGAUACAAUGAACUGGGUAUUGGAUACCAGUAGCCCUAUUAAUAUUUACAAUUUGUUAUAUGGUCUUUAGAUCAGUAGGAGAUUUGGAGACGAUGAGAGAUUUCUAAACGUUAG
rnacentral:lncRNA from 1 species